rnacentral:rRNA from 1 species
GAUCCUGGCUCAGGACGAACGCUGGCGGCGUGCUUAACACAUGCAAGUCGAACGAGAAUCUACGGAUCGAGGAUUCGUCCAAGAGAAGUAGAGGACAGUGGCGGACGGGUGAGUAACGCGUGAGGAACCUGCCUUUCAGAGGGGGACAACAGUUGGAAACGACUGCUAAUACCGCAUGACACAUUGGGGUCGCAUGGCCUUGAUGUCAAAGAUUUAUCGCUGAAAGAUGGCCUCGCG